rnacentral:rRNA from 1 species
AGAGUUUGAUCCUGGCUCAGGAUGAACGCUGGCGGCGUGCCUAAUACAUGCAAGUCGAGCGAACUGAUUAGAAGCUUGCUUCUAUGACGUUAGCGGCGGACGGGUGAGUAACACGUGGGCAACCUGCCUGUAAGACUGGGAUAACUUCGGGAAACCGAAGCUAAUACCGGAUAGGAUCUUCUCCUUCAUGGGAGAUGAUUGAAAGAUGGUUUCGGCUAUCACUUACAGAUGGGCCCGCGGUGCAUUAGCUAGUUGGUGAGGUAACGGCUCACCAAGGCAACGAUGCAUAGCCGACCUGAGAGGGUGAUCGGCCACACUGGGACUGAGACACGGCCCAGACUCCUACGGGAGGCAGCAGUAGGGAAUCUUCCGCAAUGGACGAAAGUCUGACGGAGUAACGCCGCGUGAGUGAUGAAGGCUUUCGGGUCGUAAAACUCUGUUGUUAGGGAAGAACAAGUACGAGAGUAACUGCUCGUACCUUGACGGUACCUAACCAGAAAGCCACGGCUAACUACGUGCCAGCAGCCGCGGUAAUACGUAGGUGGCAAGCGUUAUCCGGAAUUAUUGGGCGUAAAGCGCGCGCAGGCGGUUUCUUAAGUCUGAUGUGAAAGCCCACGGGCUCAACCGUGGGAGGGUCAUUGGGAAACUGGGG